UGGGGAAUUUUGGACAAUGGGCGAAAGCCUGAUCCCAGCAAUGCCGCGUGUGUGAAGAAGGCCUUCGGGUUGUAAAGCACUUUUUGUCCGGAAAGAAAUCCUUGGCUCUAAUACAGUCGGGGGAUGACGGUACCGGAAGAAUAAGCACCGGCUAACUACGUGCCAGCAGCCGCGGUAAUACGUAGGGUGCAAGCGUUAAUCGGAAUUACUGGGCGUAAAGCGUGCGCAGGCGGUUUGCUAAGACCGAUGUGAAAUCCCCGGGCUCAACCUGGGAACUGCAUUGGUGACUGGCAGGCUAGAGUAUGGCAGAGGGGGGUAGAAUUCCACGUNUAGCAGUGAAAUGCGUAGAGAUGUGGAGGAAUACCGAUGGCGAAGGCAGCCCCUGGGCCAAUACUGACGCUCAUGCACGAAAGCGUGGGGAGCAAACAGGAUUAGAUACCCUGGUAGUCCACGCCCUAAACGAUGUCAACUAGUUGUUGGGGAUUCAUUUCCUUAGUAACGUAGC
rnacentral:rRNA from 1 species